rnacentral:rRNA from 1 species
GACGAACGCUGGCGGCGUGCUUAACACAUGCAAGUCGAGCGGUAAGGCCCUUUCGGGGGUACACGAGCGGCGAACGGGUGAGUAACACGUGGGUGACCUGCCCUCAGCUCUGGGAUAAGCCCGGGAAACUGGGUCUAAUACUGGAUAUGACUCCAUGACGCAUGUUGUGGGGUGGAAAGCCUUGUGCGGCUGAGGAUGGGCCCGCGGCCUAUCAGCUUGUUGGUGGGGNGAUGGCCUACCAAGGCGACGACGGGUAGCCGGCCUGAGAGGGCGACCGGCCACACUGGGACUGAGACACGGCCCAGACUCCUACGGGAGGCAGCAGUGGGGAAUCUUGCGCAAUGGGCGAAAGCCUGACGCAGCGACGCCGCGUGAGGGAUGACGGCCUGGUGUAACGU